rnacentral:lncRNA from 1 species
AGAAGUUGGUGAAUAUCAUCUUGUUACGAAUAAUAAAUCUUCCCUCUGCGUUACGGGUUUUAAAUGGUAAGCGUUUUGGAGAUCGUAGAUCAGAUUCAUUACAUUCGUCGUAGAUCUGGGUAUAUAUGAUAAUCACCGACCCAGAAACCUCCAAUUUGAUUUCAAUCUGAUCGAUCAUGUCGAGUCACCAUGGCGUGGAGCACGUUGGUUUACCCACGCAGAUGAAAUCAAAACAGGGCUCCUGCAACCCGUUCAAGAAACCCGGACCCGUUUCCAUGGAUCACGUUCUUCUAGCUCUCCGCGAGACGAGGGAAGAACGGGAUUUGCGAAUCCGGAGCCUAUUCAACUUCUUCGAUUCUGAGAAUGUUGGGUACUUGGAUUGCGCGCAGAUCGAGAAAGGGCUGAUCGCGCUUCAAAUCCCAAGUGGGUACAAGUACGCCAAGGAGCUGUUUAGGGUUUGUGAUGCGAAUCGAGAUGGGCGUGUGGAUUAUCACGAGUUUCGUCGGUACAUGGAUGAUAAGGAACUCGAGCUCUAUAGAAUUUUUCAAGCUAUUGAUGUUGAGCACAAUGGUUGCAUUUCUCCCGAGGGACUCUGGGAUUCACUCGUUAAGGCCGGUAUAGUCUCUUCAUUCCCUACAUGCUCAAUCUUCUUGAUUAUGUGCAAACCUUUUCUUGUUAAUUACUAGCUGCUAGAUCUUAGUGUCUUAAACAAGUUGUACAUUUGAACUCAAAUUAACUUUUCAGAUUUGGGGAAGUUUGUACAAUUCUGUUGAUGCAAGGAAAGCUUUCGGUCUAGGUUUAUAAAGUGGCCCUUAUAUUAGAAUUGCCUACUUAAUGAAGAGUUUAUGGUGUAUGUUGGUUUGAUUUGGCGUACCAUUGUUAGCAUCACACCGUUGGAGAGAUUGGCCUUUUCCCAUUUCCACCUCUCUCUCUCUCCUUUCUUCUUUCUUCUUUCCCUCAGCGUCACCUGUAAGCAUCAGCACAAAUCCAUCAACCAUUGUUCUUUUGAGUCAAUAUCUCUUACAUUUCUUCUUUAGAUUAACAUCUGCCUGAUCGCACAGAAGUUGGUGAAUAUCAUCUUGUUACGAAUAAUAAAUCUUCCCUCUGCGUUACGGGUUUUAAAUGGUAAGCGUUUUGGAGAUCGUAGAUCAGAUUCAUUACAUUCGUCGUAGAUCUGGGUAUAUAUGAUAAUCACCGACCCAGAAACCUCCAAUUUGAUUUCAAUCUGAUCGAUCAUGUCGAGUCACCAUGGCGUGGAGCACGUUGGUUUACCCACGCAGAUGAAAUCAAAACAGGGCUCCUGCAACCCGUUCAAGAAACCCGGACCCGUUUCCAUGGAUCACGUUCUUCU